GCCAAGGUUACGAGUUCGAAACGGGAACGCUGUGGCUUCGUCCCACUCUCAAGUGGCAAAGAAAAGAAAAAAUCUCGAUACUUCAAGCCAGAAAACCCUACUCUUCUGCUGCCAAACCCCCUGGGACUCUCUCUCUCUCUGAAGCCAUGGCUCUGUCCUGCCUUCGUCUUCGUCGCUUAAUCCCAGUAUCUUCCUCGCUUCUCAGACACCACCUUGCUCCUGCUAUCUCUUCUGCGACCACCCACGCCCUCACGCCACCGGAACUAUCAUCACCAACCUUCAGACCAUCCCCUCCUCUGCGAGCCCAGUCCCUGCUCUUCUUCAGCUCCUCCUCGAACCGGACGCCCAUCGGUGAUGAUGGAAAGAUAGGACCGGACACGAUCCUCUUCGAAGGAUGUGACUACAAUCAUUGGCUGAUUACCAUGGAGUUCCCCAAGGACCCAAAGCCCAGCCCUGAAGAGAUGGUCGAGACCUACGUCCAGACGCUCGCCAAGGUCGUCGGAAGCGUGGAGGAAGCCAAAAAACGUAUGUAUGCUUGCAGCACCACGACAUAUACAGGGUUUCAAGCCGUAAUGACAGAGGAAAUGUCCGAGAAGUUUCGGGGUUUGCCUGGAGUUGUCUUCAUUCUGCCUGACUCUUAUAUUGAUCCUGUGAACAAGGAAUAUGGAGGUGAUAAGUAUAUCAAUGGCACUAUCAUCCCUAGACCUCCACCAGUUCAAUACGGAAGGUCACAAGGCAGGUACAAUGAUCGCAACAGGAACUAUGACAGGCCAAGUUAUGACAGGCAAAGGGAACCAAUGCAGCAGCAAGGAUUCAAUCAAUACCCUCCACCAUCUAAUCGCCAGAACACUAUGCAAGGUGGAAGACAAGAUUAUCCACCACCACCACCUGAUCGCCAGAACACCAUGCAUGGUGGAAGACAGGAUUACCCAUCACCGCCACCACCACCUGAUCGCCUGAACACCAUGCAAGGUGGAAGACAGGAUUAUCCACCACCACCACCACCACCAGGGAAUUUUUCUCCAAGUGGGGAUUUCAGGAACUCCAUGCAAGGUGGAGGACCUAAUUACCCACCACCUCCACCACCAAGAAAUUUUGGACCCAGUGGAGGUGAUAUGCGUGGUUAUGGUCCUCCAGCUGGCAGAGACUUCACUCCACCUGGUAAUAGAGGGUUUCCUCAAGGAGAAAGAAGAGACUAUGGGCAGCAAGUUGGGGUGAGUUAUCCUCAAGGUGAACAAAGGGACCCGAUGGCUGUUGGUGGGAGAGAUUAUGCACCAGGCGGUGGGGAUUUUCAGGGAGAAAGAAGAGGUCCUUUCCCACCAUAUGGGAGAGACCAUGACCAGGGGGUUCAAGGUAAUUAUGUUCCUCCAGGGCACAGGGACUUUUCACAAGGAACAGGUAACAGGGAUUCUUCACAUUCUGCUGAAGGAAAUUAUGGGGGUUCCGGCAGUGAUUAUGGUUCAACUGGACAUCCUCACGGUGGACAAGGAUGGCGCUGAAAUGCAAGCUGAAGCCUGAAGGAGCUGUGACCUGCAUAGAUGAUCCAAGGACAGUACGUGUUUCUACUGUAGGAAAUUGUUUGCAUGGCAACUGCAUAUUGUCAGAAAAAAUGCUUUUCAGCUGCUUCCUUUCUGCUGGGUAUAUCUUGGGAACUGUGUAAGUAGUAGUCGGGGAUACGCUGGCAUUACAGAGAAUAAUUUUUGUGGGAAGCGUAUCUUGGGAUUUGAACUGGAGAUGUGCUGUUUGUGCUCCACCAGCCUGUUAUGCCCCUCAGGAUAGGGGGAUAGGAAGUCUUUGUGUUCCAUGUGUUUUACACACUAUGAUAAAGUUAGAGAUUACUGUCAAGAAAGUGUUUGCUGCUUCUGCCUCUCUAGGCUUUUGCUAUUGCUCCCCUAUAUGAAAUGAAAGAAAGAGAGUGUGGUCGGCCGCC